rnacentral:rRNA from 1 species
UGGCUCAGAACGAACGUUAGCGGCGGGCCUAACACAUGCAAGUCGAACGCGAAAGGUCUUCGGACUGAGUAGAGUGGCGCACGGGUGAGUGACACGUAGGUAAUCUACCCUUUGGCGGGGAUAACGUUCCGAAAGGAGCGCUAAUACCGCAUAAGACCACGGAGUCUCCGGACGCUGUGGGAAAAGGUGGCCUCUUCUUGAAAGCUACCACCGAAGGAUGAGCCUGCGUCCCAUCAGCUAGUUGGUAAGGUAAUGGCUUACCAAGGCGAAGACGGGUAGCUGGUUUGAGAGAAUGAUCAGCCACACUGGCACUGGAACACGGGCCAGACUCCUACGGGAGGCAGCAGUGAGGAAUAUUGGGCAAUGGGCGAAAGCCUGACCCAGCCACGCCGCGUGAGUGAUGAAGGCCCUCGGGUCGUAAAGCUCUGUGGAGAGGGACGAAAACCCUGGUUUCAAAUAGGCUCCAGGCUUGACGGUACCUCUUUAGCAAGCACCGGCUAACUCUGUG